rnacentral:rRNA from 1 species
UACGUGGGGCGCAAGCGUUGUCCGGAAUUAUUGGGCGUAAAGAGCUCGUAGGCGGCCUGUUACGUCUGCUGUGAAAUCCCGGGGCUUAACCCCGGGCGUGCAGUGGAUACGGGCAGGCUGGAGGCAGGCAGGGGAGACUGGAAUUCCUGGUGUAGCGGUGAAAUGCGCAGAUAUCAGGAGGAACACCGGUGGCGAAGGCGGGUCUCUGGGCAGUAACUGACGCUGAGGAGCGAAAGCGUGGGGAGCGAACAGG